AUCGCUUCUUGGCUUUUUGGCUAAGAUCAAGUGUAGUAUCUGUUCUUAUCAGUUUAAUAUCUGAUAUAGCCUCUAUCCGAGGACAAUAUAUUAAAUGGAUUUUUGGAGCAGGAUUUUUGGAACAGGAGCUUGCUCCAUCCGCUCUAUGCAUUGACCUGGUAUUACAGUACUUUCAGGAACGGUGAAAGAAAG